UACGUAGGGCGCAAGCGUUGUCCGGAAUUAUUGGGCGUAAAGAGCUCGUAGGCGGUUUGUCGCGUCUGCUGUGAAAACUCGAGGCUCAACCUCGGGCUUGCAGUGGGUACGGGCAGACUAGAGUGCGGUAGGGGUGACUGGAAUUCCUGGUGUAGCGGUGGAAUGCGCAGAUAUCAGGAGGAACACCGAUGGCGAAGGCAGGUCUCUGGGCCGAUACUGACGCUGAGGAGCGAAAGCGUGGGGAGCGAACAGG
rnacentral:rRNA from 1 species